AAGUAUUUGAACCAGCACAUUCUUUUACCCCUUUCCACACGCUUUAACCAGAAGCAGAACCCGCAGAUUCUCCAUUCGCGAUAAGCGUGGAGAAACAAAACAAUCAUUGAUCAUACUAUAUAUACCGCGUUGCCAUUGCAUCAUCAUUCGCCGCGUUGGCCGACGCCUCCAUCCCCCACGCCAGAGAUCACCAAACCGGUCGGUGUCGAUGUGGCAGCAUUUUCA